GAUCCUGGCUCAGAUUGAACGCUGGCGGCAGGCCUAAUACAUGCAAGUCGGAGGUAACAUAGAAAGCUUGCUUUCUUGAUGACGAGUGGCGGACGGGUGAGUAAGAUUUGGGAAGCUACCUGAUAGAGGGGGACAACAGUUGGAAACGACUGCUAAUACCGCAUACAGCCUUAGGGUGAAAGAAGAAAUUCGCUAUCAGAUGUGCCCAAACGGGAUUAGCUAGUAGGUGAGGUAAAGGCUCACCUAGGCGACGAUCUCUAGCUGGUCUGAGAGGAUGAUCAGCCACAUUGGGACUGAGACACGGCCCAUACUCCUACGGGAGGCAGCAGUAGGGAAUUUUGCGCAAUGGGCGAAAGCCUGACGCAGCAACGCCGCGUGAUUGAUGACGCUCUUCGGAGUGUAAAGAUCUGUCAGUAGGGAAGAACAAUGACUGUACCUACAGAGGAAGCACCGGCUAACUCCGUG
rnacentral:rRNA from 1 species